CAAAUACUGAAAAAACAGCCUGUAUCUUGUCUCACUGCAGUAUGGUGCUAUUCAUCAUUGCCAAUAAACUAGUUUGUUUUUGACUAAUUCACCGGUGAGCAGUGUUUUCUUGUUUGUUUGCUUGUUCUUUUUCUCCCCUCUAAUUUAACUGAAUCAAAAAAAAUGGAUCAUUCUUUGAGCUGUGUGGCAAAAAAUAGCCUUAAAGUUGCUCCAAAAAGCAGAAUACCACUUCAGCUCUUAAAGUCAUCAUAUAUGUGUGUGUGAGAUGGUAAGAUGUCAAGAAAAGGAUUUAGAAAUGGUGUCAGGCCUCCAGGAAACUCAAGUAGAACUGCAUAUUAGUAGUGGUAGCAGAGGUGGGGACAGAGGGAGGAGUAAGAAUUUGGGAGGUGUUUCAAUGAAGUUUGAGUCUGAAAAUAUCUGAAAAAAGUCAUUUGUCUGGAAAAAAAGUAUAAUUCAGCUCCCGUCCACUGCUCAUUCUACAACACCAAAAUGUUUUGCCACCUUCACUCCCUCCCAUGGAUGUUCCCCAAGCUUGUGAUGGUAUGAUUAGUGAUUUGGUCUGUCCAGCCAAAAACAUAGAUGCUCAUUUGGGGAACAGAGUUUUGUCCUUAGAGAUGGCCAAGAAAGGCAAUCCUGGCACUGUGUUCUAAAUCUCAUUAAUUCUUUACUUGAUCAGCUGUAAAGGCUUGCCACUGACUUUACGGAUUGCAUCGUUUGGAUUAAGACCGUACUGAUGCUAACGUACUGGGGAACUGUGAUCAAUCUCCAAAUAAACCCCUUUAGAUGUAAAAGAACAAAGCAUGUUAGAGGAGAAGUGAGAAAUACUCUGGUCUCCUGUUCUCAGCAGACUCACCCAUAUAUUAAACAUAGUUUUCCACAAAGAAUUGUGAUUUUUUUUUACAUUUUUCACCCGUUCACUAAGCAGUGACAUUAUGAGAUACAGUCUGUCUCCCAGGACCCAAAGUCCUACAGUUAAUAAUAAUGUUCUUCUUGGAUUUAGCAGUCUUUGAUUCGUACCCUGAUUUGUUAUUCACUUGACCACGCUCCCUAUUCAUAUUUCGUACCACAUGAAAACUUGCACAAU
ensembl:lncRNA